UACGAAGGGGGCUAGCGUUGUUCGGAAUCACUGGGCGUAAAGCGCACGCAGGCGGAUCGUUAAGUCAGGGGUGAAAUCCCGAGGCUCAACCUCGGAACUCCCUUUGAUACUGGCGAUCUUUGAGUCCGGGAGAGGUGAGUGGAACUCCGAGUGUAGAGGUGAAAUUCGUAGAUAUUCGGAAGAACACCAGUGGCGAAGGCGGCUCACUGGCCCGGUACUGACGCUCAUGUGCGAAAGCGUGGGGAGCAAACAGG
rnacentral:rRNA from 1 species